rnacentral:lncRNA from 1 species
AAGAAUCUCAUACCAUGCCUAUCAGCAGCGGUGAUCAUCGAUCCAUGCAAAGGUAAUGAGUUCUGAACUCAUUCGAUUAGAUCUAAUGGUUAGAUCUGAUCUAGGGCAUUGAUGUGAUCCAUGCAAUUUUUUUUAUGUCAGAUUUUUGUAUACAAAAAUUUCAUAUCAUAGAUCCUUAAAAAAUAGUUUAGAUCUGAUUUAAAGCAUAUAUAGGAG